UGACUUACUGUGUGACAGACAACACUAUUUGAGGUUGUUGUGGCAAGAUUGUUUCCUGACACCUGCGAUUUCCCCAAAUGUGGGAAACUCGACUGCAUAAUCUGUGAUAGUAGGGGACUGCAUUCAUGCUCUCCCCUG
rnacentral:snRNA from 1 species